CCUACGGGUGGCAGCAGUGAGGAAUAUUGGUCAAUGGGCGAGAGCCUGAACCAGCCAAGUCGCGUGAAUGAUGACGGCCCUACGGGUUGUAAGCUUCUUUUGUCAGGGAGAAAUUUGGUCCACGCGUGGGCUUAGCGAGAGUACCUGAAUUAAAAGCAUCGGCUAACUCCGUGCCAGUAGCCGCGGUAAUACGGAGGAUGCGAGCGUUAUCCGGAUUUAUUGGGUUUAAAGGGUGCGUAGGCGGAAUAUCAAGUCAGUGGUAAAAAUUCGGGGCUCAACCCAGUCGUGCCGUUGAAACUGAUGUUCUUGAGUGGGCGAGAGGUAUGUGGAAUGCGUGGUGUAGCGGUGAAAUGCAUAGAUAUCACGAAGAACUCCGAUUGCGAAGGCAGCAUACCGGCGCCCAACUGACGCUGAAGCACGAAAGCGUGGGUAUCGAACAGGAUUAGAUACCCUUGUAGUC
rnacentral:rRNA from 1 species